GGCAGCUGGUACAGCUUUGCUUGUUGCCCGCGGCCCCCCACAGGCCCCUCCAACACGCCCCCUGUCCAGGGCCAUCUGUGCUGCUCAGAUGGCUGAGCACAGGCUGCCAGCUCUGGACGCUUCACCCACACUGCUAUUCAGUGGCUACACGUACAGGAAGGCCCUGCAGACCAUUAGAAUAGGGACCAUGUCUGUACCGGUGAUAACUAGCCCUUCCCUGAGCUCCCUGAAUCCCCCUUCCCGUGGCCCUCGUUGCCCCAGCCUCUUCCCCAGGACCCCUGUGACCUCUCUUUCAGUGACUCAGGAACUAAAGGGUGGGCACCUGGCACAGCAGGGCCCCAGCAGCUGUCCGAGGCCAUGGGUGUCUGUGCCAGCUGCUCAGUCCCUGUGCCUUGCUGGUGGUUAGAAUUUUCAUAUGGCCAGGCCUGCAUAGCUCAUUCUCCUCACUAGGUCUUGCUCUCAUCCACCUCCGUGCCUGACCCACACUAACUACCUGCCAGUUAAGUGACCGCUGGACGCUGGGGUCAGGAAAAGCAGGGAGCCAGGGGCAGGGCUGUGCAUGGCUGGCCACGGCCUCAGGCCUGGGCAGGAGGCAGGGGUGGGCGGCUCAGGGCUGGGGUUUCGGAGGCACCGCUCACAGACCGCCAUCUUCUUGGUGCCUGUGGUGGGUGUUUCUCUCCCCUCCAGCUUGGACUCUUUCUGCCCCGCCUGGCAGAUCCGGGCCCCCAGGGGCUCCCGCAGCCUCUGCCUCCUCUGACUGCCCACAGGGAAGCAGGUGACCGGCUGGUGCUGCUGCUGACCGACGAGUUGAGGUGCCCAGCCUUGCUGAAAUGCGUCUGUGUCUGUUGGGGCAGGUCCACCCAGCAGAGGACAAACCUGGAGACGCCGAGGGUCAGGGCACCCACAAGGAGCACCGGCCUCUGUCUCCCGCAUCCUGCAUGCACAGGGUGACGACGCCAGGAUGGAAGGGCUCGGGCACAGCCUUGUGUGGUCAGAGAGUGAAGACACCUCUAGGUAGCUGCCACAGGAAAUGAAUAAAAGGCUCAAAGUCCUGAUGUCAUGGGCUGGCUGGUGAUGGAGAAUCUUGAAGGCUGUGGAUGUGAGUUCUCACGGUCCUGGCCCGCAGCUGGAGAAGGGCAGGCAUGGGAGAGCAGGGAGCAUGCUGGCACCAGGUGGCAGAAAAGGGAAGAGCCAGGACUCCAGAUACCGAGAUACUGGUAGUCCAUGUGCUUGGAGACUGAUAUGAUUUGGAUCUGUGUCCCUGCCUAAAUCUCAUGUUGAAUUGUAAUCCCCAUUGUAGGAUGUGUGGCCUGGUGGAAGGUGAUUGGAUCCUGGGGGUGGAUUUCCCCCGUGGUGCUGUUCUCGUGAUAGAGUUCUCACGGAAUCGGGUUGACAGUGUGAGGCACCGCCCCUGUCUCUCUCUUCCUCCUGCUCCCACCAGAUGAGAUGUACCUGUUCCCCAUUCGCCUUCCACCGUAACUGUUUCUGGAGGCCUCCCCGGAAGCUGAGCAGACGCCGCCACGCUUCCUGUGCAGCCUGCAGAACGAAAUCACCCAGAUGUUGAACAGCAGAGUAUGAAAUUCCUGCGUUCCUCUCCAGCCACCCUGGGUCACGCAGGGAUCUGAUCCAAGGUAAGGAUGACUGUGAGGGUAGGGCGGGGGGAAUCUUGUUUCCUGUAAUGCAGCUCCCUGGAGAGGGCAGCAGCUCCCUGGAGAGGGCAGCAACUCUUCUAGGAAGGCUGGGACCGCCUCCUCAGAUCGGGGAGGACGACCUCCUUCAGGCAGAAGAAGCCCCUGGGUGGUUCUUCACGGUUUGGCUGGUUGGGGUCAGGAUCUGUCCUGUGUCUUCCGGGAAUUUCCGAAUGUCUCCUUUUCCAUGGAUGGAUGUGCAGCCUCUUACAAGGAAUGCCUGGCUCAUGGUGAGUGCUCAGAAAUGUUUGUGGAGUGAAUAACAGACCCAUGAAGCUGUGAAUUCCACAGGCGUCUGAUCUAGCCAACUGCAGAAGUGCAUCGUGAGAGUUGCUUUUCCCAAAUCAAUCAGCGCCCAGGCUACAAAAACAGGCAGAGGAGGUGGUUCUUCCAGCACUGCAUAGGAAGUCUUAGGUUUCGGCCGGGCGUGGUGGCUCACGCCUGUAGUCCUUGCACUUCAGGAGGCCGAGGCGGGUGGAUCAAGGAGUCAGGAGUUCAAGAACAGCCUGGCCAAAAUGGUGAAACCCCGUCUCUACUAAAAAUAAAAAAAAAAUUAGCAGGGUGUGGUGGCAGGUGCCUGUAAUCCCAGCUACUCGGGAGGCUGAGGCAGAGAAUUGCUUGAACCUGGGAGGUGGAGGUUGCAGUGAGCCGAGAUCACGCCAUUGCACUCCAGCCUGGGCGACAGAAUGAGACUCUCUCUCUCUCUCUCUCAAAAAAAAAAAAAAAAAAAAAAAAAAAGUCUUCAGCUUCAGUCUGAAUCUCAAAAUAAGAAGUUAGAGGCUGACUUGUCACUAUGUUGAGUAAGGUAUGCAGGGCAGUCAGAUGCCGCCACCCUGGCCCAGGGCCUGAGUAUUCUCCUGCUUUUCAUGAACGUGUAUGGCAGCAGCUGCAAGCCCAGUAUCGACCCUCAAGCUGUCCCCGGUUAACUCCUGACCAUCUGGAAUUGGAAAGGAACUUCUCUGCCUUCCAUCCAGGGGGCACAUUAUUUUGUGGGACCUAAAGCUUAUCCAUCCAAGGAGUGGCGCUUAUUAAGAAAAAGAAUACAGGCUGGGCGCGGUGACUCACGCCUGUAACCCCAGUACUUUGGGAGGCUGAGGCGGGAGGAUUGCUUGAGCCCAGGAGUUCAAGACCAGCCUGGGCAACAUGGCAAAACCCCAUCUCUACAAAAAAUACAAAAAUUAGCCUGGCAUGCUGGCACACGCCUGUAGUCCCAGCUACUCAGGAGGCUUGAGGUGGAAGGAUCACUAGAGGCCAGGAGGUCAAGGCUGCAGUGAGCCGUAAUCGUGCCACUGUACUCCAGCCUGCGUGACAGAGUGAGACCCCCCAUUUCAAAAAAAAAAAAAAGGAAUAUGAAUUUAUAAAUACAAAAUUAGGGACAACAUUGAACACUUAUUUAAAACGAGAAAAGAAAUCACAGCAAAUUACAGAUUUUAAAAAGCUGACAAAUAUCACAAGUAAUACAUAAUACAGAAAAACAGUCGUGAUAAUUUUUUUACCUUUUUUGGCUGACACUCUUUGAUAUCCUUUUCAGAUGUCAACGGUUUUGAAUAUUUUCCACAGUGAGAAUCAAAAGCUAAUUCAAUCUUGUUUUAGCAUGGGUGAUCAAAAUGUGUUUUGUAUUGUUUUUAGAUGUUUCUUAGCUUCACAACUGAUUAUUGCUAAUGUCCUGUACAUUUUUCGGAUUGUUGUCAAAUUUUGAAGACCCCUCUCAAGUUGUUUUUCAUAUAUGAUUGGUGAGAUUUCAGGGCAUUUCAGCUUUUCUUGUGCAGUGAUUAAUCUGAAAUAGUCUUUGAAGCGAUAACACUCGUUAAUUCAUUAUUGUCAAUGUCCGUGCUGCAGUGGUUUUUCAAGAUGUAAGUUGUCUUCCUUGAUGUCAAACCAGCAAGAAAUUUAAAUAUUUCCCAAUAUGUUCAUAAAAUGUACUCCUCAUCAUGAAUUGGACGAUCAAAAAUCCAGGAGCCUACUGAUUUCUUCUAUUCCAAAUUGAUCUUUUCCUCUUAAUGAAUUGCUUUUGGUUACAAUUCAGUUCUCAGUUUCAAACUGAUUUCUGUUGAUUUCAAUAUUCAUCUUUUAUCCCAUCUGUUUCAUAUCCUGUUAAUUUUUACCUGAACUUUCUCUUAGUUCUUUAAGAAAUCAAUAAAUUUAAAGAUAACAAAAUAAGGUCCUCUUCAUUUCUCAACUUGUCACUCUAAUUCUCUCUCCUUGAAAUCCAGAAUUGGACCUGAGGGGCAAAUGCAGCUUCUGUGGGACUGGAUCCGAGGCAGGAGAACUUGGGCUUUGGAACUGGCUAUUCCUCCAGGAUGCAGGGGCAGAGGUGGCCCGUGUGCAAGACAGAAGGAUGGAGCCGAUGUACAGAGAGGCAAGUGGUGAGAGCAGGGGGCAGGGUGGUCCUGAGUUCCUGUGCCUCUGCCAUUUCUGGAAGGUUCUGGUGCCUUCCAGAGGGAGACCCAGUAGCCAAUCUGCCCUGGGGCUCCCUGAUUUCAUCGGCAAGCUCCCUGAGCACUGGUGCCCAGUCUCGUAGGCCAGAUCAGAUACAGGUCUUUGAUCAUGGCCGGAGAGGGACCCGCAGCAUGAUCAGGAGGGUGGAGGCUGACUCUGUUGGAGGAAGAGUGGCAAUCAGACCACCCCUGAGAGAGGGGCAUUUGGAGUACAUCUGAUUCCCUGAUCUGGAUGCCUUCUCCUUCCUCUUUGUCCAGUGUAUCCUUAUUAUCCUUCAAGGCAUAGGCAGUGCCUGCCUCCUCCGGGAAGUCCCCCAGACUUUCAAGCCCUCACUUCCUUCUCCUGAGACUCUCCAUUCCCCUUAUCACAUCUACAGCCCUUACUGUUCUUUUUUAAUUUUUAAGAAAUGGAGUCCACCUCUGUCACCCAGGCUGGAGUGCAUUGGCACACUCAUAGCUCACUGGAGCCUUGAACUCCUGGGCUCAAGUGAUCCUCCUGACUCAGCCUUCAGGGUAGCUGGAACUACAGGCUUGUACCGACACACCCAGCUCUGUUCUGUCUUUUUAAGUGGAUUGGUUUUGUCUGCCCAACUAGUCAGUGAGCUCUUUGACAACUAGGACCAU
rnacentral:lncRNA from 1 species